rnacentral:rRNA from 1 species
AUACGAAGGGGGCUAGCGUUGUUCGGAUUUACUGGGCGUAAAGCGCACGUAGGCGGAUUGAUCAGUUAGGGGUGAAAUCCCGAGGCUCAACCUCGGAACUGCCUUUAAUACUGUCAGUCUAGAGACCGGAAGAGGUGAGUGGAACUCCUAGUGUAGAGGUGGAAUUCGUAGAUAUUAGGAAGAACACCAGUGGCGAAGGCGGCUCACUGGUCCGGUACUGACGCUGAGGUGCGAAAGUGUGGGGAGCGAACAGGAUUAGAUACCCUAGUAGUCC